rnacentral:rRNA from 1 species
GAUGAACGCUGGCGGCGUGCCUAAUACAUGCAAGUCGAGCGAACAGACGAGGAGCUUGCUCCUCUGACGUUAGCGGCGGACGGGAGAGUAACACGUGGAUAACCUACCUAUAAGACUAGGAUAACUUCGGGAAACCGGAGCUAAUACCGGAUAAUAUAUUGAACAGCAUGGUUUAAUAGUGAAAGACGGUUUUGCUGUCACUUAUAGAUGGAUCCGCGCCGCAUUAGCUAGUUGGUAAGGUAACGGCUUACCAAGGCAACGAUGCGUAGCCGACCUGAGAGGGUGAUCGGCCACACUGGAACUGAGACACGGUCCAGACUCCUCCGGGCGGCAGCAGUAGGGAAUCUUCGACAAUGGGCGGAAGCCUGACCGAGCAACGCCGCGUGAGUGAUGAAAGCCUUCGGGUCGUAAAACUCUGUUAUUAGGGAAGAAAAAAUUUGUAAGUAACUAUGAGCGUCAUGACGGUACCUAAUCAGAAAGCCACGGCUAACUACGUG